AUUGAACGCUGGCGGCAUGCUUUACACAUGCAAGUCGAACGGCAGCACAGGGAGCUUGCUCCCGGGUGGCGAGUGGCGCACGGGUGAGUAAUACAUCGGAACGUGUCCUGUUGUGGGGGAUAACUACUCGAAGAGUAGCUAAUACCGCAUACGAUCUGAGGAUGAAAGCGGGGGACCGUUCGGGCCUCGCGCGAUUGGAGCGGCCGAUGGCAGAUUAGGUAGUUGGUGGGAGUAAAAGACUUACCAAGCCGACGAUCUGUAGCUGGUCUGAGAGGACGACCAGCCACACUGGGACUGAGACACGGCCCAG
rnacentral:rRNA from 1 species